UAUUUUGUUACGGUACCAUUUUUACGCUUCGGUUUUUUAACUAUGGAAUUUGAAGAACUUUGCAAUUACGAGAUUUUGUUACGUUGAGAAAUCCAGCACAAGAUGCCGAAGUAUUUAAGGCUAAGAUAGUGCCAGCAGCCGCGGUCAUACUACCUUUAAAAGUAAAAAAAACUAGUAAAUGACACUAUUUCAAAUGUAUAAUUGUGGUGAAAUAUAUUAUACAAUACAUACAUAAGUUAGUGAAAUAAUACCCAAAUACUUAUUGCAAACAAGGAUUAGAUACCCUUCUAUGAAGUAAAUUUAAAAACUUUACUGGGCAUUAAAGAAAUUAUACCUAAACCCAAAUAACAUGGCGGUAAUUUUAAAGCUUAGGGGAACUUACCUAAUAAAUGAUAACCACCAAGAAUAACUACUUUAGGUAAAAUUUUGUAUGCCGUCGUCUAGAUUAAAUAUAAUAUAUUAAUCUUACAGUUCUAUAUCUACUAAAUGACAGAUCUUGGUGCAGAUAAUCCUAAAGAUAAGGCGAGUUACAAUAUUGUUUUAUAUUCUAUUUUGGUAAUAUUUAAAAUCUUAAAUAGUUGGACUUAAAAGUAAAUAUUAUAUUAUAGUUAUUACUUGAAUAUCACUAAAAUUGUGC
rnacentral:rRNA from 1 species